AGAGAGAGUCUACCUUUUCAUGGUUAUUGAUGUGUAUAACUGAGAGAGAGAGAGAGAGUCUACCUUUUCAUGGUUGUUGAUGUGUAUAACUGAGAGAGAGAGAGAGAGAGAGUCUACCUUUUCAUGGUUAUUGAUGUGUAUAACUGAGAGAGAGAGUCUACCUUUUCAUGGUUAUUGAUGUGUAUAACUGAGAGAGAGAGAGAGUCUACCUUUUCAUGGUUGUUGAUGUGUAUAACUGAGAGAGAGAGAGUCUACCUUUUCAUGGUUAUUGAUGUGUAUAACUGAGAGAGAGAGUCUACCUUUUCAUGGUUGUUUGACCAAUAGGACUGGCAAGUUCCCAAACGUAAGAGGACUCUCCCGUGGUAUUUACAUAUUUGCAGAAAUCCAUUCAGGUGUGUAUUUUGUGGCUUUUGCCGAAUGCAUUCUAAUGUCUCGCUGUUGCAAAUACCUGUAAACACACAGUCCAGUUCAAAGUGAAUGAUGGCAGGCCCGUGUGGCAAAUGGCUUUGUUUGCAUAUAGGUCCUACCGUACCUCUGAUUGGCUAAAAGGCCCACCAAUCUGCGUAGACUCCGGUCCUGGACGAGACAGAUGUUUUUAUUAGGUUUUAUGUACUGCAGUGUCUGUUAAUUGUCCAAACGCACAGCCGCUUUCCCACUCUAUAUAUUACUACAGAAUUUUCACAAAAUGCCUUCCUAUAUACGCAAUUCCCUAAACAUUCUACGAAUGUAUUAAAAAUGUUAAAAAGACAAUAUCUAAGCGCUCGCUUGUCAGAAAAUGUGAAGAAAAAAAAAGAAAAAAACACAUAGCAUAUUCUUCCUGGGGGUGAAUAUGAACAGAUUUUAAUAAGAUUUAAUGUUGCUAAAAUGUUGUCAGUUCC
rnacentral:lncRNA from 1 species